rnacentral:rRNA from 1 species
UGCAAGUCGCACGGGUGGUUUCGGCCAUCAGUGGCGGACGGGUGAGUAACGCGUAGGAACGUGUCCAGAGGUGGGGGACAACCCCGGGAAACUGGGGCUAAUACCGCAUGGGGGCUGAGGCCCAAAGCCGAGAGGCGCCAUUGGAGCGGCCUGCGUCCGAUUAGGUAGUUGGUGGGGUAAAGGCCUACCAAGCCUGCGAUCGGUAGCUGGUCUGAGAGGACGACCAGCCACACUGGGACUGAGACACGGCCAAGACUCCUACGGGAGGCAGCAGUGGGGAAUAUUGGACAAUGGGCGAAAGCCUGAUCCAGCAAUGCCGCGUGGGUGAAGAAGGUCUUCGGAUCGUAAAGCCCUUUCGACGGGGACGAUGAUGACGGUACCCGUAGAAGAAGCUCCGGCUAACUUCGUGCCAGCAGCCGCGGUAAUACGAAGGGGGCUAGCGUUGCUCGGAAUUACUGGGCGUAAAGGGCGCGUAGGCGGCGGCCCAAGUCAGGCGUGAAAUUCCUGGGCUCAACCUGGGGACUGCGCUUGAUACUGGGUUGCUUGAGGAUGGAAGAGGCUCGUGGAAUUCCCAGUGUAGAGGUGAAAUUCGUAGAUAUUGGGAAGAACACCGGUGGCGAAGGCGGCGAGCUGGUCCAUUACUGACGCUGAGGCGCGACAGCGUGGGGAGCUAACAGGAUUAGAUACCCUGGUAGUCCACGCCGUAAACGAUGUGCGCUGGAUGUUGGGGCCCAUAGGGUCUCAGUGUCGUAGCCAACGCGGUAAGCGCACCG